CCUGAUGAUCAUAGUAUGUUGGUACCACACCUUCCCAUUCCGAACAGGACCGUGAAACGACUCUACGCCGAUGAUAGUACGGAUUUCCCGUGUGAAAGUAGGUAAUUGUCAGGC
rnacentral:rRNA from 1 species